rnacentral:rRNA from 1 species
UACUUAGGGGGCAAGCGUUGUCCGGAAUCAUUGGGCGUAAAGCGCGUGUAGGCGGCUGAGUAAGUCUGCUCUGAAAGCCCGGGGCUCAACCCCGGGAGGCGGGUGGAUACUGCUCAGCUCGAGUCCGGAAGAGGAGUGUGGAAUUCCUGGUGUAGCGGUGAAAUGCGCAGAUAUCAGGAGGAACACCAAUGGCGAAGGCAGCACUCUGGGACGGUACUGACGCUGAGACGCGAAAGCGUGGGGAGCAAACAGG